rnacentral:rRNA from 1 species
UACGGGGGGAGCAAGCGUUGUUCGGAUUUACUGGGCGUAAAGGGCGCGUAGGCGGUCAGCACAAGUCAGUUGUGAAAUCUCCGGGCUUAACUCGGAAAGGUCAACUGAUACUGUGCGACUAGAGUGCAGAAGGGGCAACUGGAAUUCUCGGUGUAGCGGUGAAAUGCGUAGAGAUCAUGAGGAAGACCAGUGGCGAAGGCGGGUCUCUGGACAGUUCCUGACACUGAGGCACGAAGGCCAGGGGAGCAAACGGG